rnacentral:rRNA from 1 species
AGACAAUAGAUACCCCGGUAGUCCACGCCGUAAACGAUGGAUGCUAGCCGUUGGCGGGUUUACCCGUCAGUGGCGCAGCUAAACGCAUUAAGCAUCCCGCCUGGGGAGUACGGUCGCAAGAUUAAAACUCAAAGGAAUUGACGGGGGCCCGCACAAGCGGUGGAGCAUGUGGUUCAAUUCGAAGCAACGCGCAGAACCUUACCAGCCCUUGACAUGUCCCGUAUGGGUUUCAGAAAUGAGACCCUUCAGUUCGGCCGGCGGGAACACAGGUGCUGCAUGGCUGUCGUCAGCUCGUGUCGUAGGAUGUUGGGUUAAGUCCCGCAACGAGCGCAACCCUCGCCCUUAGUUGCCAUCAUUUAGUUGGGCACUCUAAGGGGACUGCCGGUGAUAAGCCGCGAGGAAGGUGGGGAUGACGUCAAGUCCUCAUGGCCCUUACGGGCUGGGCUACACACGUGCUACAAUGGCGGUGACAAUGGGACGCAAUGGAGCAAUCCUGCGCAAAUCUCAAAAAGCCGUCUCAGUUCGGAUUGGGGUCU